rnacentral:lncRNA from 1 species
GUACUAGCAAGGGUUAGAUUAAAUAUACCAGACAGGCAGGUGUUCCUUAUAUUACCAAUACAUCUUACAUAGAUUUGAAUCUAAGACAAAAAAUGCUACAGACUGACUAACUCUGAGACAGGCAGCAGCAUAAUAGAACAUAACUGCUGUUAAGACUGUUCAUAACUGCCAUAAUUGUACCAACUGAAAAAGUGCCUCUGGCACAGGACAUCACAGAGUUCUACAGCCCAUGUGAGCAUUAAGCCUUUCCUUAGCAUUUUGGAUGCUUUCAUCUCACAAUUUAGGGGCUGGGGGAGUGAGGGCGUCCAUUGCUCUUUCCCUUUUACAAGCUCUCAUCCCCUUACGCUGCUAUCGGGGGGCCUUUAAGACACUUAUUGGUUAGCUGGAAAAGUCCUACCAAGCUAGCAAUUCCGAUGGCUUCUCCAAUUGUCUGUGGUUCUUCCAACCAGGGAGAGGGGAGGAAGGAGAUAGUUUUAGCCACCAGUGUUUCUUGUAGUGAAGUGGGCAGCAAUGAAUUCAGUGCCUUUGAUGAUGAAUUUGUUGUGCAAGACGGUUCAGAGUGGAAUGGCAAGAUGUUAUUGAGACUUUUUGGGGCUACUGCAUCUGUAAUCAAAAGCUUCCACCCUGUGGCUUCAGCCCUUGUAUUUGUUUCUUGUUCAGCAGGGAACUAUGUGCUUUAGCUUAUUUAAAAGGUGUAUAAACCACCCUUCAAAAGAUUUAAAGCUCUACUCCCAGCUCUACUCCCAGACACUGCCCCAAACUGAGUUCAGUAAGGAGUGACAUUAGGGCUUUAAUUCAUUGCUCCUUUGUUUCCCUUUCAAUGCAGCUUCACCCCUUUCUUAGGAGUGUCUCAUUUAACAACAGUGCUGGAGAAAAAGUAUCUUUCGGUGAAAACUGGGAAUUUGAAACUGGAUUUGAUAUUACGAACUUGGUCACUUUCCCAAAUAACUCCUAUGUGAGAAUCAAGGUUGGGAGGAUAGAUCUGGAGGCUCCCCCAGGAAAGCAAUUUUCCAUUCAUGAGGACAAAAUGGUGUGGCAUAAAAGUUUUCUCCAGGUGAGGAAUGACAGCAAUGUCCAUGAGAUGUGGGUAAACAAAAUAUUAUUGCAUUGCAGAUCAUGAGUCUAGCAAAGUGUGGUACAUAUCUUGAACUACAUGUGGAACAUGGACACCUUAUUUUGCUUUUGUUUUCUUUUAAUAGAAGGUUAGGACCUGUUACCCGUUUGGGUUCAGCAUUGUUUUGAUCAAAUCAUAAUGAGAAAUUUGCAUGUUUUCUAGGUCUUCAUACUACACCCCUGAUUGCUCCUUGUCUUUGGCAGGAAGAUAUGAAGAAAGCUUUUAGAAGGAGUCAGCUGAAGCCUCUUUUCAGUUGGGAAAUGUGAUAAUAACACAUUGUUCCAAAUCCCAGAGAGGCUUCUAACCAUGUUCAGACAUGUGUGUUAGACUGCUCCUUACACCCCCCUACUCAGCACAGGAAGAUCAGAGGGGGGAGAAGUACACCAAGGAUGUCUCUGGACAUUGGGUGCAGGGCUGGUGAAUAUUCACCCACCCCUCAAUUUGAGGAGGCUCAAAGAAAGCCAUUUUAAGCACCUCCCCACCCCUCAAUUGUGGAUAGUAGUAUUUUUCACCCUGAAUUGGUUCUGAGGAGAUCAUUCGCACCUCUUAGUCAAUACUAAAAUCCCACUGCGCAUACAAUACUAAGAAUGCUUGGAAUGCCAUGCGUUCCUAAUUGUAGCUGAGAUAAUGGGAGGCAAAGAUCCUAUACAUCUAUAUGUGCUAAACUGUUCCCAUGCUUAUUCCAAUGGACAGGUUCCACCUCAUUCUGUGUGUAGCCCAAGUUGCCCUCCUGGAUACAGAAAGAAAAAGAAGGAGGGGGAGAAAUUCUGCUGCUAUGAUUGUGCUCCAUGUCCCGAAGGAAGGAUUGCUUCCCAGAAGGGUAAGAGACACAACUCUCCCCCCUUCCCCCCCACACACUACAGUGGCCAGGCCACCCCGAUCUCCACAGUUGACAUACCAGAUGAAGCUGGUAAGAGGCCCCAGUAGCUACACAUGCUAGUUGGCUUGGGGUUCAAACACAUUGCAUUGUAUCUGGUUUGUUGGGAAAUACCUAAGAUAUUUCCGAUUUCAUUCGAAGGGAUCCAUAUUGGUGGAAUUUGUAUUUGCUCUUUAAGACAUGAUGAGUCUGCAUCUAAUCUUUUCUUUUUUACCUCAGACAUGAAUGACUGUAUUGGAUGCUCAGAAGAUCACUACCCAAACAAGGACCAGACACAAUGCAUUCCAAAGACAAUCAGCUUCCUGACUUUUGGAGAACCACUUGGGAUGUGCAUAGCAUUUCUCUCUCUCCUUUUCUUUCUGCUCACACUUUUGGUCCUAGUAAUCUUUGCUAAGCAUCAAGACACACCACUCGUCAGGGCCAACAAUCGAGACCUGACCUACACUCUCCUCACGUCUCUCCUCCUUUGCUUUCUCUGCCCCUUCAUCUUCCUCAGCCGACCAGACAGAGUGACCUGCCUUGUCCGACAAAUGGCUUUUGGUGUGGUUUUCACAGUGACUGUUUCUUGUGUGUUGGCCAAAACCAUUACCGUUGUUCUGGCAUUCAUGGCCACCAAACCAGGAUCCAGAAUAAGGAAAUGGGUGGGGAAAAGACUGGCAAGCGCCAUUGUGUUGACUUGUACUAUUAUCCAAGCUGGUAUUUGCACUGUGUGGCUGGGAACCUCUCCCCCAUUUCCCCAUUUUGACAAGCUUCAUGUGACGGGAGAAAUCAUUCUGGAAUGUAAUGAAGGGUCAGCUGCCCUGUUUUACUGUGUCUUAGGCUACAUGGGCUUCCUGGCCAUUGUCAGUUUUGUUGUAGCAUUUUUAGCCAGGAAACUGCCUGACAGCUUUAAUGAAGCCAAAUAUAUCACCUUCAGCAUGCUGUUGUUUUGUAGUGUUUGGAUCUCCUUUGUUCCGGUCUACCUGAGCUCCAAGGGAAAACACAUGGUGGCUGUGGAGAUCUUCUCCAUCUUGGCCUCCAGUGCUGGCUUAAUGGGUUCCAUCUUUGCUCCCAAAUGCUACAUUAUUAUUCUGAGGCCUGACCAGAACACCAGAGGGCAAUUAAUUAGAAACUGAAUGAGAGCGA